AAACCUAACUUAAAUCUAAACACUACUUGAUCUUAUCUGAGCAGAGAGUAGCCGCCGCCACGGUUUUCACCUUUCCGAGUCUAUCAUUUUCUAUCUCACUCUCGUCGGAUACGCUGACGGUGGAGCCUCCGUUUACGGCGGACUCUGCCCUCGUACCCGCACUGACCGUGAGAUGGAGAUUGUAUCUAUCGGGUUUAAAGGUUUGACUGGUUUGCCGUCGGUAACCUGCGAUGAAGACUGCCCGCGGUCAGAGCCCCUUUCCUAUUGGUUGGGGCUGUGAAGGCCACGCGGGCUGCCCAAAUAUCAUCAACUUUUGCUUUUGUUUUUUUUUUCUUUUAUUAAAUGAAUGUAAAGAUUUUCGCAUGUGCUUAUUAAUUUUGAACUUUAUUUUACAUUUGUUUUAUUUGUUUUUGCUAUUUGGCAAUUUAUUUUGUGUUGCUGAAUUCAACUAAUUCAUUUGGACUUGUUAGGCCCUCUUUUUAAGGUUCAUAUGCUGCUUGGUGUGCAGCAGUACUUUGAGAGUGAUCCUUGGAACUUAGGGCUGAGUUCUCGAGUGUUUUUAGGUUCCCAAAUUCAUUUUCAUGUUUUCGUUAAUUUGUUAUUCCUUGUACAUAUAAAUAUAAUAAAUUUUCACGUCAAUUGAAUAUACUAUUUAUCUGUUAUGUAUGAUCCAAUUGCUAUGUUCCAGUGGAUAUUCUACAAGUUAGUCAACUCACGAAAUGCAAGAAUGCAACUUGUAUCAUUUUGAUUGA